rnacentral:lncRNA from 1 species
UGGCUUCCAUAAAUGAAAAUGCACUGAGAUCAUAGACCGAGUGGUAUCUGGCUUUCCUGAAAAGGAGUUGGCACUGAGGUCACAGAGCGAGUGCUGCUGGCUUCUCUGAGGAGAAUGCUCCGAUUUCACACACGGAGUGGUGCCUGGCUUUACUGAGGAGAAUACACUGAAGUCACAGACUGAGUGGUGCCAGGUUCUCUGAGGAGAUUGCACCGAGGUCAUAGACCAAGUGGUGUCCGGCUUUCCUGAAGGAGAUUGCAUGGAGUCCACAGACCAAGUGGUGACGGCUUCCCUGAGGAGAAUGCACGGAGUUCACAGACCGAAUGGUGCUGGCUUCCCUGAGGAGAUGGUAUCGAGGUCACAGACCGAGUGGUGCCUGGCUUCCAUGAAGGAGAUUGCAUGGAGUCCACAGACCAAGUGGUGACGGCUUCCCUGAGGAGAAUGCACCAAAAUCACAGACCCAGUGUUGGCUGACUUCCCUGAAGGACAUUGCACGGAAGUCACAGGCUGAGUGUUGGCGGGCUUCCCUGAGGAGAAUGCAACCAGGUCACAGACCAAGUGGAACGCAGCUUCUCGAGGAGAAUGCACCGAGUUUACCCCAAGUGGUGCCCGGCUUCUCUAAGGAGAUUGCACUGAGGUCACAGACUGAGUGGUAUCCAGCAUUUUCGAGGGGAAUGUACCUAGAUCAUAGACUGAGUGCAGCCCAGCUUUCCUGAAGGAGAUUGCAUGGAGUUCACAGAGCUAGUGGUGCCCCGCUUCUCUGAGGAGACUGCACCGAAUUCACACACUGAAUGAUGCCGGGCUUAUUUGAGGAGAUUGCACUGAGGUCACAGACCAGGUGGAAACUGGCUUCCCUGAGGAGACUGCACUGAGGUCACAGCGUGAGUGGAGCCGGCUUCCCUGAAGGAGAUUGCACUGAAAUCACAGACCGAGUGGCGCCAGCUUCUCUGAGGAGAAUGCACUGAGCUCACAGACCGAGUGAUGUCCAGCUUCCCUGAAGCAGAUUGGGUGGAGUUCACAGACCGAGUGGUGCCGCCUUCUCUGAGGAGAACGCACUGAGGUCACAGACCGAGUGGCCCCAGCUUUUCUGAAGGAGAUUGCAGGGAAGUCACAGGCUGACUGUUGGCUGGCUUCCCUGCGGAAACUGUAAGCAGGUCACAGACCUGGUGUCCAGCUUUCCUGAAGGAGACUGCACCAAGUUCACAGACCGAGUGGUGUCGCUUUUCCUGAAGGAGAUUGUGCUGAGGUCACAGGCUGAGUGGUGUCCAGAUUUUCUGAGGAGAAUGCACCAAGGUCACAGACUGAGUGGCAUCAGACUUCCGUAGGGGAGAAUGCACUGAGUUCACACACUGAGUAGCGUCUGGCUUCUCUGAAGGAGAAUGCGCUGACGUCACAGACCUAGCGUUGCUUUUUGUAUCACUCUCCGCUGGUGAUUCUUCGCCUGUCUGCAGGGUUCUCACUGCCGUUUCUGCCGACAAACUCCUACUUAUUCAAUACCUCCCAGCUCACACUCAACUUCUCUGCAGAAGCUUCCAAUUCCUUAUCCCUCUGCCAAAGUUACCUGUUCUCUUCUCUGAGCUGUUUUGCACUUUGUUCAUGCUCUGGGUGGUAGUUCUGAAGUCGGUCCUCCCGUGGUGACUUCUUCAGGGCAGCCUGUGCACCAUGUGUUUUUAAUUCCACAGUGGCCCGGGUCCCCCAAGGGCAGGGGGUCCCCAACCCCCCAGGCCAUGGACCAGUAUCUGUCCCUGGCCUUUUAGGAGCUGAGCUGCACAGCAGGAGGUGACUGGUGGAGGGCGAACAAGUGACGCUUCCCCUGUAUCUACGACUGCACCCCAUCACUUGCAUUACCACCUGAGCUCUGCCUCCUGUUAGAUCAGCAGUGACACUAUAUUCUCAUAGGACCUCAAACCCUGCUUUGAACUGCGUAUGUGCGAGAUCUAGGUUGUGCGCUCCUGCUGAGAAUUUAAUGCCUCAUGAUCUGCCACUGUCCCCCAUCAUCCCCAGAUGAUACCAUCUAGUUGCAGGAAAACAAGCUCGGAACUCCUACUGAUUCUGCAUGACAUUCACGUGGAAAGAAUAAUGGCUGUGAGUGGCUGACUCGGGAUGCUGGAGGAGAGCGUGGGUGACAGGCUGUGUUAGGCACUUCUCAGUGACCGAGCCAAGGGGCCGGGGCCAGGCUCCCGGUGGAAGAGAGGCCUCUGCCCGGUGCAGGGGACCAGGCACCAGGGUGACGAACACCGGCCUUCUCCUUCCCUCUCUCCACCCUGCGCUGUGGAAAACUGAUCCGGGGCUCUGGGUGUUUGAUGAUGGGGAAAAGAGGAGCCAUCACCUCGACACACCCAUGGGCAGGAAUAGGAACUCGGCAUAGGACCAGCCCAUCUGUGCUCCUUACCACUGGGAGCACAAAGUCCAUGGGAAGUAUUUUCUGUUACAGAACAGCGUGUGCUGGGAUUGGAUGUGCUUUUCCCAGCUAGGAAAGCUGGCUUUGGCCCCCAGCGGAGGCUGUUAGGGUUUCGCCUUCUUC